rnacentral:rRNA from 1 species
GAUGAACGCUAGCUACAGGCUUAACACAUGCAAGUCGAGGGGAAACGACAUCGAAAGCUUGCUUUUGAUGGGCGUCGACCGGCGCACGGGUGAGUAACGCGUAUCCAACCUGCCCAUCACUUGGGAAUAACCUUGCGAAAGUAAGACUAAUACCCAAUGAUAUCCCACGAAGGCAUCGGAAUGGGAUUAAAGAUUUAUCGGUGAUGGAUGGGGAUGCGUCUGAUUAGCUUGUUGGCGGGGUAACGGCCUACCAAGGCAACGAUCAGUAGGGGUUCUGAGAGGAAGGUCCCCCACAUUGGAACUGAGACACGGUCCAAACUCCUACGGGAGGCAGCAGUGAGGAAUAUUGGUCAAUGGGCGAGAGCCUGAACCAGCCAAGUAGCGUGCAGGAAGACGGCCCUAUGGGUUGUAAACUGCUUUUAGAAGGGAAUAAAGUGGGUCACGUGUGACUUUUUGCAUGUACCUUAUGAAUAAGGACCGGCUAAUUCCGUG